rnacentral:rRNA from 1 species
CCUACGGGUGGCAGCAGUGGGGAAUAUUGCACAAUGGGGGAAACCCUGAUGCAGCGACGCCGCGUGGGCGACGAAGCGCUCCGGCGCGUAAAGCCCUGUCAGCAGGGAAGAACAAAGACAGUACCUGACCAAGAAGCCCCGGCUAACUACGUGCCAGCAGCCGCGGUAAUACGUAGGGGGCAAGCGUUAUCCGGAUUCACUGGGCGUAAAGGGAGCGCAGGCGGCACGGCAAGUCUGGUGUGAAAGCCCGGGGCCCAACCCCGGGACUGCAUUGGAAACUGCCGGGCUGGAGUGCCGGAGGGGUAAGCGGAAUUCCUGGUGUAGCGGUGAAAUGCGCAGAUAUCAGGAAGAACACCGGUGGCGUAGGCGGCUUACUGGACGGCAACUGACGCUGAGGCUCGAAAGCGUGGGGAGCAAACAGGAUUAGAUACC